GUGCUGCUCAUUCAUCUCAACUUUGAAAGUCGUGUCCAGGAGGCUCACUCGCCUCCAGAUCUGUGGUCCUCAAUGACCCAGAGCUUUCACUGCUGCUCUGCUCCUGCGUCUUCUGAAGCUCAGCCCUCCUGGGUUUAAGGCUCUUGCUCCUGAUCAGUCUGCCUUGUAUUGUGUGCAUCUGCUUUGGACCCAGCAGGAAAAGUACUCGCAGAAGCCCUGUGCCUGGUGUGGUGGCCUGAAGACACAGCACAUGCUGCUGGGAGCUCCUGGCUCUGAAAAGGCUGUGCGGCUAUUAGGCUGACCUGGACCCGUGCCAGGUGUGUGUUCCUGGGCAGGUUAAGCUUCCCAGACUACUUCCAGUUUGGCUACAUGUGGCUUCAUCCUCAUUGUCCAAGGUGGCUCCUGGGGCUCCAGCCAUCACAUCAUGAUUCCAGAUGGUGGAUUCUUUACCAACUGAGCUAUCAGGGAAGCCCAAGAAGAAAGAGGGCCUUGGCAAAAGAAAGACAAGUGCACAGCCAACACCCUGGAGGCUGUGUGAGAAUUUCAAUGUAGCUAAAGCUCACAGCAAUAUGGGGGUGCGGUGGGAGAAGACGCUGCGCAGCUACACAGAAUCUGCUUCCAGGAGGGCUGAGCCCCAUCUGGCAGGAGACCCAGAUUCGAUCCCUGAGUUGGGAAGAUCUCCUGGAGAAGGGCAUGGCAACCCAUUCCACUAUUCUUGCCUGGAGAAUUCCACGGACAGAGGAGCCUGGUGGGCUACCAUCCAUGGGAUUGCAGAGUUGGACACAACUGAGCAACUAACACUUUUACAUAAAUGGAGUAUAAUCUUUAAAAAAUUAUGAAUCACUAUAUUGUUAUAAUCUGUCAGUUGUAUAAUAUCAUAUAUCAAC
ensembl:lncRNA